rnacentral:tRNA from 1 species
GAGGCUCUAGCUCAGUGAUAGAGCUCUUGCUUAGCAUGCACGAGGUCCUAGGUCCAACCCUAGUAGCUCCA